GAUGAACGCUGGCGGCGUGCCUAAUACAUGCAAGUCGAGCGAAUGGAUUGAGAGCUUGCUCUUAUGAAGUUAGCGGCGGACGGGUGAGUAACACGUGGGUAACCUGCCCAUAAGACUGGGAUAACUCCGGGACACCGGGGCUAAUACCGGAUAACGUUUUGAACCGCAUGGUUCGAAAUUGAAAGGCGGCUUCGGCUGUCACUUAUGGAUGGAUCCGCGUCGCAUUAGCUAGUUGGUGGGGUAACGGCUCACCAAGGCAACGAUGCGUAGCCGACCUGAGAGGGUGAUCGGCCACACUGGGACUGAGACACGGCCCAGACUCCUACGGGAGGCAGCAGUAGGGAAUCUUCCGCAAUGGACGAAAGUCUGACGGAGCAACGCCGCGUGAGUGAUGAAGGCUUUCGGGUCGUAAAACUCUGUUGUUAGGGAAGAACAAGUGCUAGUUGAAUAAGCUGGCACCUUGACGGUACCUAACCAGAAAGCCACGGCUAACUACGUGCCAGCCGCCGCGGUAA
rnacentral:rRNA from 1 species